GACUCUCGUCUCUCUCUCGCCGAGUCGCCGCGCGACCGCACCCUGACCCAGUAACCACCCCCGCAGGCAGCGGUCGACACGUCUUUAAAUACAAAAACGAUAUCAGGGUUUGAAUUGUUUGAUUGGAAAGCAAAAAACAGAAAGAUUCAGAGACAAUGGCAAUGCCAUGGGCCAUGACCCUUUGGAUGGCAAAGAUGGUGUGGGUGGCUCUGACUGGCUGGGUCUCUUCUUGCUUGAUCGUUGCUGAUGAGGUUGCCAGCUCUCUCAGAACCGGCGAUAUUGGUCCUUUCCAUGUUGGCUGAUUGGGUUGUUGAAUUCAACACUAUCUGGGUUUGUCUCUUGGAACCCUGCUAGUUGUUUCUCAUAUGUGAUGCUGAUAUCCCUUUUUAUGAGCAGAGCCCAAAAGCUACCAAGAAAAGCAUAUUGGGGGGAUUGAAUAUCUGAGGUGUGGGGAUGUAAAACUGCCUCUGAUUUUCUAUGUAACUCUGAAUCUUCGGCUU